ACAAACUUGGUCAUUUAGAGGAAGUAAAAGUCGUAACAAGGUCUCCGUAGGUGAACCUGCGGAGGGAUCAUUAACACGUUUACAUCAAACGUUUCCAACCAAAUUCGUGAGCAUUACCCAACCCACUCUGGCAACCUUUGGAGGCAGGUAGUGGUACUAGUGUCGCUCUAGUUUGAUCUAGGGCCACUGGUGCUACUGCUUUGCUGGUUGCUCCCAAUUUUUUCUUUUUCAACCCUUUCCACUUUUACCAUACGGUUUAUAGUCUAGUCUAGUGUGCGAGCUCAUCUGCGCUCUGCACUCUCUGAUUUGAUAAAUCAUUUGUAAAUGAAAAGCACAACUCUUAGCAACGGAUAUCUUGGUUCUCGCAUCGAUGAAGAACGCAGC
rnacentral:misc_RNA from 1 species